AACGGAGAGUUUGAUCCUGGCUCAGGAUAAACGCUGGCGGCGUGCUUCAGGCAUGCAAGUCGAACGAGCACUUUGGUGCUAGUGGCGGACGGGUGAGUAACACGUAAGUAAUCUGCCCGGAAGUGGGGAAUAACUGGCCGAAAGGCUGGCUAAUACCGCAUGUGAUGGUCCUUCCCUGGAGGGAUCAUUAAAGGCGAAAGCCGCUUCCGGAGGAGCUUGCGGCCGAUUAGCUUGUUGGUGGGGUAAUGGCCUACCAAGGCCGCGAUCGGUAGCUGGUCUGAGAGGACGGACAGCCACACGGGGACUGAGAUACGGCCCCGACUCCUACGGGAGGCAGCAGCUAGGAAUCUUGGGAAUGGGCGAAAGCCUGACCCAGCAACGCCGCGUGGGCGAUGAAGGCCUUCGGGUUGUAAAGCCCUUUUGCAGGGGAAGAUGAUGACGGUACCCUGCGAAUAAGCCACGGCUAACUACGUGCCAGCAGCCGCGGUAAUACGUAGGUGGCGAGCGUUGUCCGGAUUUACUGGGCGUAAAGGGCGUGCAGGCGGUCUGUUAAGUCUAGGGUGAAAGCUCCCGGCUCAACUGGGAGAGGUCCUUGGAUACUGGCGGACUUGAGGGAGGCAGAGGAAAGUGGAAUUCCCGGUGUAGUGGUGAUAUGCGUAGAUAUCGGGAGGAACACCAGUGGCGAAGGCGGCUUUCUGGGCCUUACCUGACGCUGAGACGCGAAAGCGUGGGGAGCGAACCGGAUUAGAUACCCGGGUAGUCCACGCCGUAAACUAUGAACACUAGGUGUGGGGGGUAUCGACCCCCUCCGUGCCGAAGCUAACGCAGUAAGUGUUCCGCCUGGGGAGUACGGCCGCAAGGCUAAAACUCAAAGGAAUUGACGGGGGCCCGCACAAGCAGCGGAGCGUGCGGUUUAAUUCGUCGCAACGCGAAGAACCUUACCAAGGCUUGACAUGCUAGUGGUACCGAUCCGAAAGGUGAGGGACCCUUCGGGGAGCUAGCACAGGUGCUGCAUGGCUGUUGUCAGCUCGUGCCGUGAGGUGUUGGGUUAAGUCCCGCAACGAGCGCAACCCCUGUUGCCAGUUGUAUUCUCUGGCGAGACUGCCCCGUAAAGCGGGGAGGAAGGCGGGGAUGACUUCAAGUCAGCACGGCCCUUACGUCUUGGGCCACUCGCACGCUACAAUGGUCGGU
rnacentral:rRNA from 1 species